CAAGGGCUAAAGGCUGCAACAAAGAAACAAAAUUAUAAAAAGAUUAGUGAAAACAAGAUGUUCACUACUGUUGCAGUUUUAUGUAAGGGGUUUCCUGCAGAAUUUAUCACAUACUUCAACUCAGAUAGCAACUAUAGCUCCCAUCUGAAGCAGCUAUUCCGCAUUCUUUUCAGGACCGUGAACCAUCAAUAUGACUACACAUUUGAUUGGACAAUGUAAAAGCAGAAAGUAGCACAGCAAGCAGCCUCUUCCAGUGGGCAGGGUCAGCAGGCCCAAACUCCCACAGGCAAGCAAACUGAUAAAAGCAAGAGUAACAUGAAAGGUUUCUAA
rnacentral:lncRNA from 1 species